rnacentral:snoRNA from 1 species
GACCUCCCUGGAUCGCAUCUGGAGAGCUUCUAGUGCUCUUCGGCUUUGUAAGCGGGAGGGAAAGAGACAGCAGAGGAAUACCCAUUCCCUCGCUAGCUUUGGAGAUGGCUAGUGAGUGGAAGGCAACCUGCUACAAGC